rnacentral:lncRNA from 1 species
GUGAAACUUAUUAAAUGGUUCUCCCUGGAAAACAGAAUCCCCAUCAAGAAGCCUUUGUUACUCGUACUGCUUGGUAGGAGUUGGGUGCCUGUCUUUAAAUCACGAUUAGGGAAGCCUACAGGUCGGCAGGAUUGGAUUGCUGCCUCCGUGGCACUGCAGCAAGGGCGGGCAUGGUCGGAGCCGUGGCGGUUCUGCUUCUUGUUAACUUGGAAUAAUGACAGAUGGCUCUGUCUCAUCCAGAGGUUCGCAUAUGAAGCCAUUCAGGGAAACCGCAGUGGAAACCUAAUGCCAAAAUCAGCCCUCAAAAUCGAAUUAACCUUUAGGAAGAUCUUACAAGUGACGCUGCGAGCAUUGCUUUCUCCUGAAGAGAAAGCAGCUGGAGGAAGUAACAUCUGA